CCUUCUCACCGUGCUAAUAAACGAAAUCCUUUCAGAUUCGUUAAAAGGCUUGAAGAAGAGAGGAAACGCGAAGUUAUUUGCUCAGAGAUACAUAAUGAAGUUUGCCAGACGGAUUCCGAUUGUUCGGUGGAAUAUUGUACAGCAGCUGGACUUGACUACCAAUGCGUAUUAGAGACUGUUAACCUCGAUCCAAAGAUGCAAGAAUACCGAUGCACAAAGAAAGAUGCUUGAUGAAAACGCAAGGAGGAUUUAAUCUCGACGCGUCGUUCGCUUGUAAACAUACUCAGUACAUAUUAUACCGGGUAAAAUCUUACACGAUAUUCUGGAGCUUAUGUUGUGUUUUCUUGUAUUAAAAUACGAUGUACGCUCAAA